rnacentral:rRNA from 1 species
UACGUAGGGCGCAAGCGUUGUCCGGAAUUAUUGGGCGUAAAGAGCUCGUAGGCGGCUUGUCACGUCGGGUGUGAAAGCCCGGGGCUUAACCCCGGGUCUGCAUUCGAUACGGGCUAGCUAGAGUGUGGUAGGGGAGAUCGGAAUUCCUGGUGUAGCGGUGAAAUGCGCAGAUAUCAGGAAGAACACCCGUGGCGAAGGCGGUUCUCUGGGACGGUACUGACGCUGAGACGCGAAAGCGUGGGGAGCGAACAGG